AGGGUUUGAUCAUGGCUCAGAACGUACGCUGGCGGCACGCCUAACACAUGCAAGUCGAGCGAGGUAGCAAUACCUAGCGGCAGACGGGUGCGUAACAUGUGGGAAUCUGCCUUUUGGUUCGGAAUAACACGGGGAAACCUGUGCUAAUACCGGAUAAGUCCUUACGGGGAAAGUUUUAAUGCCAAAAGAUGAGCCCGCACUUGAUUAGCUAGUUGGUAAGGUAAUGGCUUACCAAGGCAACGAUCAAUAGCUGUUCUUAGAGGAAGACCAGCCACAUUGGGACUGAGACACGGCCCAAACUCCUACGGGAGGCAGCAGUGGGGAAUCUUGCACAAUGGGGGAAACCCUGAUGCAGCGAUGCCGCGUGAGUGAAGAAGGCCCUUGGGUUGUAAAACUCUUUCGUCGGGGAAGAAAAUGACUGUACCCGAAUAAGAAGGUCCGGCUAACUUCGUGCCAGCAGCCGCGGUAAUACGAAGGGACCUAGCGUAGUUCGGAAUUACUGGGCUUAAAGAGUUCGUAGGUGGUUAAAAAAGUUGAUGGUGAAAUCCCAAGGCUCAACCUUGGAACUGCCAUCAAAACUUUUCAGCUAGAGUAUGAUAGAGGAAAGCAGAAUUUCUAGUGUAGAGGUGAAAUUCGUAGAUAUUAGAAAGAAUACCAAUUGCGAAGGCAGCUUUCUGGAUCAUUACUGACACUGAGGAACGAAAGCAUGGGUAGCGAAGAGGAUUAGAUACCCUCGUAGUCCAUGCCGUAAACGAUGUGUGUUAGACGUUGGAAAUUUAUUUUCAGUGUCGCAGCGAAAGCGAUAAACACACCGCCUGGGGAGUACGACCGCAAGGUUAAAACUCAAAUGAAUUGACGGGGACCCGCACAAGUAGUGGAGCAUGUGGUUUAAUUCGAAGAUACGCGCAGAACCUUACCAACACUUGACAUGUUCGUCGCGACUCUAAGAGAUUAGAGUUUUCGGUUCGGCCGGACGAAACACAGGUGCUGCAUGGCUGUCGUCAGCUCGUGUCGUGAGAUGUUGGGUUAAGUCCCGCAACGAGCGCAACCCUCACUUUUAGUUGCCAUCAUUAAGUUGGGCACUCUGAAAGAACUGCCAGUGAUAAGCUGGAGGAAGGUGGGGAUGACGUCAAGUCCUCAUGGCCCUUACGUGUUGGGCUACACACGUGCUACAAUGGUAUCUACAACAGGAAGCAAGACUGCGAAGUUAAGCAAAUCCCUAAAAGAUACCUCAGUUCGGAUUGCACUCUGCAACUCGAGUGCAUGAAGCUGGAAUUACUAGUAAUCGUGGAUCAGCGUGCCACGGUGAAUGCGUUCCCGGGUCUUGUACACACCGCCCGUCACACCAUGGGAGUUGGUUCUACCUUAAG
rnacentral:rRNA from 1 species